CUGAUUUUAUUUAAAUAAAUGUUUUUGUUGAGUUCAGUAACAGCUGGAAUGGACUGGAUUGUAGAGUUCUGCAAGAUUUGGCUGACCGCUGGUAAUCCCUCUUGUUUAUAUGGAACCUAAGCUAUUAGUAUGAUGAAUGAGCAAAGGUUUUCAAGAAAAUACUCAAGAGAAUGAAUUGUCAUAAGAAUCAUCUUAUUUAAUCUCCAACUUAAAAAUUGAGUUAAUACACAAUUUAAAAUAUUUUAGAGGCUAAGGCCAUACUUAGAGUGAUGUUAGCAUUCCCUUCUAAAAUAACUUUAGGGAGGAUCAAAUUCAGACUUAAAAAGGAGUGGAAAUAAAUCUGACACUGUACACAUAAGACAAGUUGGUACUCAGAAAUUAAUAAGAAGAAAAUACCUAUUUUUAGUUACAAGGCAAACCAUUUUGAGUAACUUACAGGCAAACAGGAUGGUUGUGAAAGUACCUUGAACUAUUCAGAAACUAUAAAAUAUUGGUACAAAAGUAAACUUAUUUCAAGAUACAGUGGUAUUUUUUUUCCUUUUUCAAAUGUUGUUACAGUUAACUUAGGAGGAAAAGUUUUCUAGGAGACAUAAAACCUAUAUCAAGUGGAAGAAUCUUUACUUCAGCAGGAACCUUCUUAGGCUGUAUGAGACUUUAUACUGCAGGUCAGUUUUCAUCCUCAGUUUUCCAAAAAAUGAGCUACCCAGAGUAUACAGAAGAAAUUAACUGGCCAUCUGAGAUAGCCAUUUCUGUUUUUCCAGAACUUCAACAUUCAGCUGACACUCCUUUACCAUUAAAAACAAAACCAAACCACACCCAUCUACCCCACAUCACCAAGUAUUCAAUGUUUUCUUGGUCAUUGUACAGAAAAGACUAUAUGCUCUGGGAGACCUGCCCAGGAAGACUGGAUAAUCGACUUAAAAAUGACAGACUGAAAGUUUUAGUCCAAAAAUCAGCCAGAACAAAUGCAUGUCAUUACAGUGAGGUGGUACACCAUACCCUAAUGUACUGCAGCUAAUUACAGGCACUUGAUGUUGUGACAUGGUUGCUGUAAYGAGUUCAUGAGUUAUUUCCAGUAAUAAAUCACUAUUACUCUAUUGUUGRCGUUGAGGAGUUGCUACUCUUCAUCCUGUCAUGCAGAUAAAAAUUCAACAGCUGGAGGAACAGUGCUGGCUACUAUCAGGAGCYACCCAUGAACAGAAGAAAGGAAUACUCCUCUGCAAAAUUUAGACUCUUGAAGAAAUCCAAAUGGUUGCCAAAGGAAAAAUGUCAUAGAAUCACAGAGUUGUUUAGGAUGGAAAAGACCACUAAGAUCAUUGAGUCUGACUGUUAAUCCAGAACUGCUAAGUCCAACACUAACCAUGCCAUGAAGAGCCACAUCUACCUAUCUCUUAAACAGCCUAAGGGAUGGUGACUCCCUGGACAGCCUGUGCCAAUGACAAUGACACCUUUUCAUGAUGAAAGUUUUCCUAKUAUGCAACUUAAACUUCCCCUGGUCCAACUUGAGGCCAUUUCCUCUUGUUCAAUUGCUUGUUACUUGUGAGAAGCUGACCUUCACCUGGCUACAGCCUCCUUUCAGGAAGUUGUGGAGAGUGAGAAGGUCACCCCUGAGCCUCCUUUUCUCCAGGCUGAACACCCCCAGCUCCCUCAGCUGCUCCUCACAGGAUUUGUGCUCCAGACCCUUCCCCAGCU